AAUCAACGCUGGCGGCGUGCCUCAGACAUGCAAGUCGAACGAUUAAAGCUCUCUUCGGAGAGUGCAUAGAGUGGCGCACGGGUGAGUAACACGUAAGUAAUCUACCUUCGAGUGGGGAAUAACGUCCGGAAACGGACGCUAAUACCGCAUAAUGCAGCGGCAUCGCAAGAUGACAGUUGUUAAAGGAGCAAUUCGCUUGAAGAGGAGCUUGCGGCAGAUUAGCUAGUUGGUAAGGUAAUGGCUUACCAAGGCUACGAUCUGUAACCGGUCUAAGAGGACGGUCGGUCACACUGACACUGAAUAACGGGUCAGACUCCUACGGGAGGCAGCAGUCGGGAAUUUUGGGCAAUGGGCGAAAGCCUGACCCAGCAACGCCGCGUGAAGGAUGAAGUAUUUCGGUAUGUAAACUUCGAAAGAAUGGGAAGAAUCAAUGACGGUACCAUUUAUAAGGUCCGGCUAACUACGUGCCAGCCGCCGCGGUAACAC
rnacentral:rRNA from 1 species